rnacentral:misc_RNA from 1 species
UUUCUUUGUAAGAAAGAGAUCAUUAUAGUAGUAUUGAUAAUUUUAUAAUAAAGAAUAAUUAAAAUAAUUGAUUUUUUUAAUAUGAAAGGAAAAUAAAUAAAAAUAUAAUUUUAUUAUUUUUUAAUUUUAAAAAAUCUAUAAUAUAUAAAGAAAUUUUUAAGAAAUAAAAUUAAGAUAAAUUAAAAUUUAAAAAUAAAAAUGAAAUACGACAAAAUUUGUGAAUUACUAUAAAAAUUACCCUAAAAUCUAACUUAUGGGGAGAAGAAUUCCAAGACGCGAGAAGAUAAAACAUCGUGUAGGUAGUAUAAAAUAUAAAUAUCAAAGCAAAACGACAAGAGAAAAAAGGAACAAAACGACAAGAGAGGCAAUAGAUUUAUAAAGAAGAGGAUAAGAACAAAAUGAACAUACCGGCAACAUUGAUGUUCUCAACAAUGUAAAGAACGUUGUCCUCAUUGAUUUCUCCCUUCUGCUGUGCGUCUAAAAUAUGAUCUAUUGCACAUUUCAACCCUUCAUUAUCCAUGCUCGUU